UACGGACGGGGCUAGCGUUGUUCGGAAUCACUGGGCGUAAAGCGCGCGUAGGCGGCCGGUCAAGUGCGGCGUGAAAGUCCUGGGCUCAACCCGGGGACGGCGCUGCGGACUGUCCGGCUGGAGUCCGGAAGAGGGUGGUGGAAUUCCGAGUGUAGAGGUGAAAUUCGUAGAUAUUCGGAGGAACACCGGUGGCGAAGGCGGCCACCUGGUCCGGUACUGACGCUCAAGCGCGAAAGCGUGGGGAGCAAACAGG
rnacentral:rRNA from 1 species